GUAGGUGGCAAGCGUUGUCCGGGAAUUAUUGGGGCGUAAAGCGCGCGCAGGCGGUUCUUUAAGUCUGGAUGUGAAAGCCCACGGGCUCAACCGUGGAGGGUCAUUGGAAACUGGAGAACUUGAGUACAGAAGAGGAAAGCGGAAUUCCACGUGUAGCGGUGAAAUGCGUAGAGAUGUGGAGGAACACCAGUGGCGAAGGCGGCUUUCUGGUCUGCAACUGACGCUGAGGCGCGAAAGCGUGGGGAGCAAACAGGAUUAGAUACCCUGGUAGUCCACGCCGUAAACGAUGAGUGCUAAGUGUUAGGGGGUUUCCGCCCCUUAGUGCUGCAGCUAACGCAUUAAGCACUCCGCCUGGGGAGUACGGCCGCAAAGGCUGA
rnacentral:rRNA from 1 species